CCUACGGGAGGCUGCAGUGAGGAAUAUUGGUCAAUGGACGAGAGUCUGAACCAGCCAAGUAGCGUGAAGGAUGACUGCCCUAUGGGUUGUAAACUCCUUUUAUAUGGGAAUAAUAUGUUCCACGUGUGGGAUUUUGUAUGUACCAUAUGAAUAAGGAUCGGCUAACUUCGCGCCAGCAGCCGCGGUAAUACGAAGGAUCCGAUCGUUAUCCGGAUUUAUUGGGUUUAAAGGGAACGUAGGUGGAUUGUUAAGUCAGUUGUGAAAGUUUGCGGCUCAACCGUAAAAUUGCAGUUGAAACUGGCAGGCUUGAGUACAGUAGAGGUAGGCGGAAUUCGUGGUGUAGCGGUGAAAUGCUUAGAUAUCAGGAAGAACUCCGAUUGCGAAGGCAGCUCACUGGACUGCAACUGACACUGAGGCUCGAAAGUGUGGGUAUCAAACAGGAUUAGAUACCCGUGUAGUC
rnacentral:rRNA from 1 species